rnacentral:rRNA from 1 species
AGAGUUUGAUCAUGGCUCAGAUUGAACGCUGGCGGAAUGCUUUACACGUGCAAGUCGAACGGCAGCACGGGGCAACCUGGUGGCGAGUGGCGAACGGGUGAGUAAUACAUCGGAACGUGCCCAAUCGUGGGGGAUAACGUAGCGAAAGUUACGCUAAUACCGCAUACGAUCUACGGAUGAAAGCGGGGGAUCGCAAGACCUCGCGCGAAUGGAGCGGCCGAUGUCAGAUUAGGUAGUUGGUGGGGUAAAGGCUCACCAAGCCAACGAUCUGUAGCUGGUCUGAGAGGACGACCAGCCACACUGGAACUGAGACACGGUCCAGACUCCUACGGGAGGCAGCAGUGGGGAAUUUUGGACAAUGGGCGCAAGCCUGAUCCAGCCAUUCCGCGUGCAGGAUGAAGGCUUCGGGUUGUAAACUGCUUUUGUACGGAACGAAACGGCGAGCUCUAAUACAGUUUGCUAAUGACGGUACCGUAAGAAUAAGCACCGGCUAACUACGUG